rnacentral:rRNA from 1 species
GGCGGCGCGCCUAACACAUGCAAGUCGAACGGCACCCCUCUCCGGAGGGAAGCGAGUGGCGAACGGCUGAGUAACACGUGGAGAACCUGCCCCCUCCCCCGGGAUAGCCGCCCGAAAGGACGGGUAAUACCGGAUACCCCGGGGCGCCGCAUGGCACCCCGGCUAAAGCCCCGACGGGAGGGGAUGGCUCCGCGGCCCAUCAGGUAGACGGCGGGGGUGAUGGCCCACCGUGCCGACAACGGGUAGCCGGGUUGAGAGACCGACCGGCCAGAUUGGGACUGAGACACGGCCCAGACUCCUACGGGAGGCAGCAGUGGGGAAUCUUGCGCAAUGGGGGGAACCCUGACGCAGCGACGCCGCGUGCGGGACGGAGGCCUUCGGGUCGUAAACCGCUUUCAGCAGGGAAGAGUCAAGACUGUAUCUGCAGAAGAAGCCCCGGCUAACUACGUGCCAGCAGCCGCGGUAAUACGUAGGGGGCGAGCGUUAUCCGGAUUCAUUGGGCGUAAAGCGCGCGUAGGCGCCCCGGCAGGCCGGGGGUCGAAGCGGGGGGCUCAACCCCCCGAAGCCCCCGGAACCUCCGCGGCUUGGGUCCGGUAGGGGAGGGUGGAACACCCGGUGUAGCGGUGGAAUGCGCAGAUAUCGGGUGGAACACCGGUGGCGAAGGCGGCCCUCUGGGCCGAGACCGACGCUGAGGCGCGAAAGCUGGGGGAGCGAACAGGAUUAGAUACCCUGGUAGUCCCAGCCGUAAA